UUCAAGUCUAAAGAAGAGGUGGUUGUGUUGCGUCGAGGGAAGAUUACAUAUCAAGAUCUUCCUGUGCGUGGGUUUGCAUUAAGAUGAUGACAUUUUAGGGAACUCUUUACUGUAGCUGUCAAAGUGGUAUCAUCCCAAGUCAAGAAAUCCACCAGUGAAGAAUUGCAGAUGUGGGGUGUAGGACAAGUGGAUCACUCAGACUAAACGGACAUGAAGGAAAUAAACGUCAGGCGGUCUGUCAUCUGCAGGUUGAAACACACUGAAGAUCAUUGUUUGAGGUCAUCCGUGAUUCUUGUCUGUGUCCCAUCUGCUCAGCAUACUCCUUGUGUCUUGUUCCUGUUUGGUUGUUGUGGAUAUACCAUCAGCUCACGGAUCCUUCAUCAUCACCCAACUGCGCACUCAAUCACCUUCUCACCAGUCGGUGCUGCCAUCGAGGUCCCUGCGUCACCCACCACCAACCCAACCUGACCUUACGUCUCAAAUAAAGA